UUUCCAUUCUUUAAGAUUUAGCAGAGAUUCUCCAGUCUAUUUGAUUCAACAACGAACAAUUCCCGUUAUAAGAAAAUAAUGUUUCUUUUGUGUCUAUUUCAUGAUCCAUCAAAAGGUAACUAAAAAGAAUCAAAUUGUUUUCAAGUUGAGCAUCAAUAACAAUCACUUUCAAUUCGAUAACUAUUUAAGAUUCUGUGCUACCUGAAAGUGUUUCAUGUCACAUCGAAUCUAAGGAAUCAAAAUUUUCCUGCGUAACAUCAACAUAAUCAACUUUUGUCAAACCUGUCAAAUCGUUUUUAUAAUAUAACAAAGUUAUCAUGCCAACGAAUGUAUAAAAAACUGGGAGUGAUGAUUGAUUACCUUGGAUAGUUGGUCAAUAACGGUAGUUUUUUAUGAGAAAAUCUUUAAGCCAUGCUGAUAGUGGACAAUUGAAGAGGUGGUGAUGGCAGAGAAGGUGGAAAAGUUGAUCUUUUCAGUGUUAAUAAUGAUAAUUAAUUAACUUGAAUGGGUGCAGUUGAAGGCAUUAUCAUCACAUUGAUGUGUCUUAAUUGUUUGGAAAACCAUCAAAAUAACAAAUCAACACGAUUGUUAAAACUUACUAGGUAAAUGCUAUUAAUAGUUAUAUCUGUUUAAUCUGGUUGAAUUUUUCUCAAUUAGGAUCAAAUUAACAUGCCUUAGGUUUAACAAGAUAAUGUUAUGUUAUGAGUUUAGUGGUAAUAUCACUUGAUUGUUAUUUAUUCUGCUAAUUAUCUUAAGCUUAAUUGUUGUUGCUUAUAAAUAUUACCUUAUUAAUCUUAUGCUGAUUAGUAUAUAAGUUUGAUGUAAC